rnacentral:lncRNA from 1 species
UCGACAAAAUUACUAUGCUAUAAUGAAUGGCUUUAUAUAUUACCCGAAACCAGGACCAAAGAUAACAUUCAUAGCACUUCCACAAAUCUCAAGAGGAUGUAAACAAUCACAUCCAAAGCUAAAGUUGCAGUGAAGGAAAGUCCCAAACAUUUGAUGUCAAAUGGACUAACUAGCUGAAUAUUGGUCCAAGAAGUUUCAGACGCCAAUAUUUAAUUGCAGCGAUUCCCAAUUUCAACCGCAUUCCAUGUAACUAGAAAAGGAUGAGUAGAGUCAUGCCAUUAGUGCAGCAGAAUUAACGCCUUGAUUCACUGUAGCUAUUAUCUUCUCUGUUCAAAACAAAAGAAACGUCAUUAACUUCAGCUAAAUUAACAUGAUCUUAACAACUUUUCAAACUCAUUGCUGCAGAAAAAAGCCAAUAUAGCUCAAGGUUUAAGCCUCAUCUUAAUACAUGUAAAUGGACAUAUUUUUCUUUUACCAUUGUUGCGUGCAAGCAAUACCACAGAAAACAAACGUGAGCAAUUAAAGCAUGAUACAAAUGAAGUUCGGUAGCUGUCAGCGUGUCAGACAUCUAUGUCAUAGUCAGGAUCAAUUGAAGAUAAUCUAAAAAUCUAGCUAACAUGGCUUCUGACAAUUACAAGGCCAUUAUUGUGUUGAAGAUCAUCAUUGAAUCACCUAUCCUGAAAAUAUGAAAAUGCUCUAUUUCGUAAUUAAAGAACAUCAGGUUGAUGUAACAAAUUUUCUAUGUAAUGCAUUAUUGCUUACACUAAGUUAAAAACGCAUUUACACCAUUAAUGUGGAACCAAUGCUGUAUGUUCAGCAUUGUCCUUGCAAAUUGGAUGGCAAGACAAACAAGAAUAAGACAGAGCUAAACUCAAUUUUCAACAUCAAAAUAGAGAUCAAAGACAGCAAAUGCUUCCCCCCCCCCCCCCCCCCAAAAUCCGGAAUUCCCACUUUAAAAAAGGGUUACAAUAAAUCAUUAAUUUCAAAUCAAUCCAAUUGAAAUUGGUAAACAUACACAAAUCAACAGCACCUAAUAGUGAAGAUACUGAUACCUAGUAAUAAAUGUGCAUAAAUCAGUGGUUAGAAACACCGUAAAUACUUCAGAGAAAAGGACAGGUGACAUUGAAUUCUAUUAGUUCCAAACAUAAAAAUUCUACCUAAUUCAAAAGAAUUAUUUUUAGGUCUCUACCAAACCAAACCUAAGUACCAUUUGAAAAUGAGCUCAACGGAAGAAUUGAUUUGCCAGAGGGAAGUGAGUAUCUUAAGUCCUUGUCAUGCUUGCAGAAAGCCC